AGUGAACGCUGGCGGUAGGCCUAACACAUGCAAGUCGAACGGCAGCACAGUAAGAGCUUGCUCUUACGGGUGGCGAGUGGCGGACGGGUGAGGAAUACAUCGGAAUCUACUUUUUCGUGGGGGAUAACGUAGGGAAACUUACGCUAAUACCGCAUACGACCUACGGGUGAAAGCAGGGGAUCUUCGGACCUUGCGCGAUUGAAUGAGCCGAUGUCGGAUUAGCUAGUUGGCGGGGUAAAGGCCCACCAAGGCGACGAUCCGUAGCUGGUCUGAGAGGAUGAUCAGCCACACUGGAACUGAGACACGGUCCAGACUCCUACGGGAGGCAGCAGUGGGGAAUAUUGGGCAAUGGGCGCAAGCCUGAUCCAGCCAUACCGCGUGGGUGAAGAAGGCCUUCGGAUUGUAAAGCCCUUUUGUUGGGAAAGAAAAGCAGCAGGUUAAUACCCCGCUGUUCUGACGGUACCCAAAGAGUAAGCACCGGCUAACUUCGUG
rnacentral:rRNA from 1 species